GAACGCUGGCGGCGUGCCUAAACAUGCAAGUCGAGCGGAGGAUUCGAGAUGUUUACAUCGAAGGAUCCUUAGCGGCGGACGGGUGAGUAACACGUGGGUAACCUGCCUCAGAGUGGGGGAUAGCCUUUCGAAAGGAAGAUUAAUACCGCAUAAGAUUGUAGCGUCACAUGGCGCAGCAAGAAAAGGAGCAAUCCGCUUUGAGAUGGACCCGCGGCGCAUUAGCUAGUUGGUGAGGUAACGGCUCACCAAGGCCACGAUGCGUAGCCGACCUGAGAGGGUGAUCGGCCACAUUGGAACUGAGACACGGUCCAGACUCCUACGGGAGGCAGCAGUGGGGAAUAUUGCACAAUGGGCGAAAGCCUGAUGCAGCAACGCCGCGUGAGUGAUGAAGGCCUUCGGGUCGUAAAGCUCUUUGAUCAGGGAUGAUAAUGACAGUACCUGAAAAACAAGCCACGGCUAACUACGUG
rnacentral:rRNA from 1 species